ensembl:lncRNA
AGCGUUUGAUCGUUUAUUUAUCCCGCCGGCACUCCCUGGAAGUAGGUCUGCAGUCCCCGCGUUGCUGGAGCGGGGGGGGCUGCGAGGCACGGAUCGCUCCGGGCCGGGCUGUCAUUCACCGUCAGAGGGACCGACAGCGCUCACUGACUCAAAAUGCCGUUUCCUUCCCCACCUCGUGAGCAACUUUCUGCACGCAGGUUUCAGCUCUACGCUCUGCACCCUGAUAUAUGGAAAUUCUGAUGUGCAGAUUAGGAAAGCCCCUAUGCAGGAUCUCAUUAGAGGCGAGCGUGAUCCCACCGUACUAAAAAGGAACACCUCCAAUGCAGCGCCACGUCCAUACUCAGCGCCAGCGCUGACAAUGGGAAAGCCUGCAUGCGAGCACUGAGCCAGCAGCGCUCACAGAACGGCUUGGGUUGGAAGGGACCUUAAAGCCCACCCAGCCCCAACUCCUGCCGUGGGCAGGGCUGCCCCCCACCAGCUCAGACUGCCCAGGGCUCCACCCAACUGACACUGAGCACCUGCAGGGGUGGGGCAUCCCAGCACUCCAAUUACACCACUGCAGAGUAAGAGAGGAAAUGCUCAACGUCACUUCAGGUGAACAAAUACGUUUAAACAAGGAACGUCCUCUUUUCUUUCUCUCCCUCUGUGCGUUUUCCUUCUGCUUUGUUUAGUUUUGGAAGACCUCCCAGCAGAAGGAAGGAGCCAGCACUGCACCACCUGUUGUUCCAUUACCUCGUGGAAGGCAGUGGCAGAACAGAUCUCCCAGGGAAUACGUUCAGCAGGAAGAAAGAAGUGCUGUUGUCCCCAGGUCAACCUUAGCCCGCCGUUCCGAUACGUAGAAGAUACACAGGGAAGGAGGAGUUUAUUCAAAAGGUAAAAGCUUAGCUAGGCUGUGGCUAUCCCAAACAAUAUACUUUUGUAACAGGUUGUGGAACAAAACCAAGUUACAUCAUCCUGCCAGCUGUGCUGUUCCCGGGGCUGGCAGCUCCUCACACUUCAGGCAUGUCCAGGCACAGCCCCAGCCCCGCUGGCCUACACCAGUGUCCCUGGGCCAGAGCAGUGGCACUGUGAGCCCAGAGCACACAGCAUCAUCCUUUCCUUUGUGAUGCCACCCAUCUCACCAUCGUCUGUGCUGAUUUCUAUUAACCGCUCCUGGGCUACUCUGUAAUGCACUGCAAGAUCAUAGCCAUCUGUUUAGCCUCUCUUAGCAGGGCCCAUUACUUUUAACAGCAUGGCAACACGCAUGCCAUGUAGGGCUGUACGAAUGCCUCCCCACCAGCACUGUGCUAUAUAAGGGUAAGGUUUUUGCCUAUCGUUGAGCACCGAAUCCAGACAAUCAAAAAAAUCAUCCACAUCUUUCUCAUUCGUCACGUCAGGACCCAAACAAUGAAAAGCAAUUAAAUCCAAAUGUGCCUCAGGCUUCCUACCUGAGAAGCCCAGUGCUGUUUGUUUGCUGUUUCUUGUGGGAUGAAAUAGGCUCAGGCACCAGUGCUGCACAGGAGGGGCCUUCCAACACCAGGCUCUGCCUAUCCUGCUGCAUCCCCCAGUUGCUUCUCUGCUCUCUCUAUAAUGGGAGCUGAUGGUUUUAUUGUUAUCUGGCUGUUGCACAAUCCCUACCAGCUGUGCUCACCUCACUCAGAGACAGGACACAUUUGCAGAAAGAACAAGCACCUGCAAUGGGAAUCUAUCAGGCAGGAAUGGAAACACCUGAGAUCUGCAGCAUCACUGUCAGGGCUCCUUUCUCUCCUGAGAUUUCUGACUUACGCCCAGGUUCCAACAAUGGAAUUUCAAGCAUAUAAAUUUGCAUGAUGAAUCCGAUGAAACAAAAUUAAAACACAAAAAGAGCACGUCACAAGAUUUGACCUCUUUGGUCUUAAUUGAUGAAUCCUUUCAGAUUUGUAGAUGAGAAGCUACAUCCUGAUCAUCUGCUGGAAUAGGCAGUUGGAAUUCUCCUGACUUCAGGAAAAGCAGGACAAUAUUUGUGGUCUGAAUCAUUUAUUUUGGAUUAACGGUGUCGGGAUUUCCAGAAUCCCUUUCCAAUACAGACUUGCUUUUCUGCAAGGCGUUUCCAUAUCUGCGUGGAAUACAGUUUUGUACGUGUCCAGGAGCAGACUGAAGCCCACGUGCCUUUCUGACAGAGUCCCCGAUCCCCACAGCUUGCAAGUGACUUUGUGCACAAAUGCUUUCAUGGAAAUUAUUUGGAUUAUUCACAUGCUAACCUAUUUGAACACACGUAUCUCACAGAAGGAAGAAAAAGUGUGUUUGCACUUAAAUACUUAUUGUUGCUAUCAGUUGUCAGGUCCUGUUGGGGUUUGUGCAGAUCAGUCUUGUAGCCAAGUGGGAAGACUUGAAGGGCAACUCAUAAUUGACCUUGACUAGAUAAAAAAAAUCACUUUCCUGACUAAUUCACAGCACAAGAUGCACCCCAUUUUUGCAGAGAUUUAGCUCAAAGUCAGGUCUAUAUUAGAAAACUUCUCCUCACUAUAACAUGGGAAAAGUCAUUUAGGGAAAGGAAAAAACUCUUGUGUAGAUGCUGCCACGUUGACCAAAAGCACCAAACCAAUGUGUGUGUUUUCUGGACACCUUAAGUGAAGCAAUGGGAUGGUGUCUGUGGGUGAGCUGGUGUGCUGCUGUCCUCUCUGUGUGAUGGGGAAGCAGGAUUUGGCCAGUGUGCAAAAAAAAUAAAAAUAAAAAGCAGAAGGCAUUUGUAGAAAAACAACAGAAAUAAUCAGCUGCCUGGAGCGACUGAUUUAUAGGGAGAGAUUAAAAAGGCUGCUUCUCAGCUUGCUAAGCAACGGCAAGAGAUGGCCCAGAUAGCUGCCCACAGUUAUCUGAAAGGUGUAAGCACUGAGGAAGUGAAAGGGAAAAAAGCGGUUGGAGAAGGAUAAACUUUGAAUAAUAGGCUGGAAUUAAGAAAGGAAGCCGAGACAAAUGUCAGGGAAAGCUUCCAAGGGAUGAGCAGCAUUAGCGUGCAGAAGAGAUUCUCAAAGGAAAUGGUGGAAUCCCCAUAAUUUGAAACAUUAAAGCCCGAGUAGACAAAGCAAUCAUGAAUAUGCUGUAGGAAAUAAUCCUGGUGUGGUAUUGGAUGAACAUGCCUGUCUGGCAUUGGUUAUGUGAACGUCUACUGCUUUUUUUUUUCCUACUGAACUCAAUUGAUUUUUUACCCCUCACCUCUCCACUCCCACUCUCUCUAUUUGCAUCUGUCUGCUUGUGUCUCAUAUACAGGUUGGGAAAUGCAUUAUGCUACUUACAUUUUUAUCACAAACGUGGCUGGAUGUCUACCUAAUAUGCAACAAAUUGUACAAAAUAAUUGUUUAGGUGCAUUAAUCACGUUGCCUCUGAAUGGAAUGCAAAUGGCCCUAUAAUUAUUUCUAAGUUGGGUUCUAAUUUUUUUUAACACUUAAAAAUUAAAUUCAACGUCAUCU